UACGGGGGGGGGCAAGCGUUGUUCGGAAUUACUGGGCGUAAAGGGCUCGUAGGUGGCCAACUAAGUCAGACGUGAAAUCCCUCGGCUUAACCGGGGAACUGCGUCUGAUACUGGAUGGCUUGAGUUUGGGAGAGGGAUGCGGAAUUCCAGGUGUAGCGGUGAAAUGCGUAGAGAUCCGGAGGAACACCAGCGGCGAAGGCGGCAUCCUGGACUGGUCCUGACACUCAGGAGCGAAAGCGUGGGGAGCGAGUCCGG
rnacentral:rRNA from 1 species